UACGGGGGGGGGCAAGCGUUGUUCGGAAUUACUGGGCGUAAAGGGCGCGUAGGUGGUUUGAUAGGGUGUGGUGAAAGUCCGGGGCUCGAACCCCGGAUCUGCCGUGCCGACUGUCAAACUCGAGGACUGUAGAGGCAGACGGAAUUCCGGGUGUAGCGGUGGAAUGCGUAGAGAUCCGGAGGAAGACCGGUGGCGAAGGCGGUCUGCUGGGCAGUUCUGACACUGAGGCGCGACGAGCGUGGGGAG
rnacentral:rRNA from 1 species